CUUCACAGGCCACCCGGCGUAGGCUUAUGGGCCACCCAGUGCUCCAGCAGAUGCUGAGUGCUCGAGGAGUGAAACAUGGCUCUGUCACCAUCAACAUUUGCAAACAAAUUUAGCAGUGCAGCCUCUUCUGGCUUUGGAUUUGACCCAGGACGGUGACUGUACAGGUGGUUUCCAAUCCGCAGGCUUGCACCUGACCUUCACUCCACCUCCAGCAAAAUGCAGGGACAUGGGGCAGCCUUGGGUGAGGAAGAUGCUUCGAAGCUCCCCCGGCUCUAAUGACGCCAGCAGCACACGGCACCUCUGGUUGCUCCGCAGUGUGGCGAUCAGGACCCUUUGCAUAGACCCACGCUCACACAAGCACCUUUUUUCUCGAGGCAGGGAGAUCAGCUUACCUGUGCACCGAAUUUACAGACCCAGCGUCACCAGAGGGACUCGUUUUGAUGGUCUCCACCAGCCACGUUGCAGGCUCUGUGGCGGGGCACAUACCCUAUGCAGCUGGCUUCCUCCCUUCUGCUUGAUCACGAAAGGAGCCGCACUGACAGGCCUGGAGACUGAAGUUCCCUAUUUAACUAGAGAGCAUGUGCAGCAGGGAUGGAGAUGCCGAUGUCCCUCACUUGCUGUCCCACCGAUGGACCUUACCUCGACUUGGACUACUGGGUCUGAAGGAGAAAAGGGGAAAAGAAAAAGAAGGGUGGCCCAGUCUUUGUAGUGUGUUGUUAAUGGAAGGAGCGAAGGUCCAGAGGAAAAAUGUCCUGAGUUUUAAAAAGUGACUGUUUACUGAAGAGAAAAUAUAAAAUAAUAAAAAAAAAGGAGGCAGCCUGUUUGCCAUGGCAGUGCAGAGUUCAAUACAAAAGUGCCCGUGGUAUUCAGAAGGAUGCCUAUUUAAAACAGGGCACAGGCAGAUCCUCUGUGGCAGAAUUUAAUCUUGGUCCAGCAAAACUCUGAGAUUGGGAUGUCCAGAGAGAAAUUCCCAUGUUUCAACUCUUCCCAAUGUGAGCAAAUGAGGACAAGGCUAGUGUCGUCUCUCCUAAGUAUUCCUCCUAGUCCUCCUAAAGGGGCUCCAUUUGCACUUAAUUUCCUUUAAUUGACUCACUUCUGACAGGCCGUAGUGAUUUCUAAUGUUUUAAAACCCCUUUUGCCUGCUUUUACUUAACUUUGUUUCCUCUGUGAGCAUCUCCUCAGAGGAACGUCCUCUCGCCUCUAAAGAAGCUAAUAUAUCGUCCAUGCUCCCAAAAGCCAAUAGAAGCUAUUGAUACAUAUGGAAAUGAAAGCAGAAGACAGUAAUAAAAACAGAGUAACUGAAAGAAACAGCUGAAUAUUUAAAAAUCUGAUGCAGAAUACUAGGCAAGAAUCAGAGCUUCAGAGAAUCAAACCAAGUUGUUCAUUUUUGAAACAAGCCAGUACUUCAAAUGCUUUAUCUGACGCUACCGAAGCCAACAAUAAUUUUGCCAUUGAUUUGAACAGUGGGAAGAGCUGACUGUCUCUAUGAGGAAAAACCUAAGGUUACAGACAAAUUGGAAAGAAUAACUGAAAUUAGGGUAAAAAUGUCAAUACUUUGAAGAAAGGAAAGAAAAAAACUGAGUGGGAAAAGCAUGUGGUUUCAGUAGUUAGCACUCAAUAUAAAAUAAUGCCAUAUUUUAGAAAACUUUUUGUAUGUGAGAAACUUGGUACAAGUGAGUAUUCCCACUGAGUGAACUAGGCCUACAGAUAACCUCUGCUAGGACACCUGAGUCCUGGUCUUGCACCCAAUGAAAUAAAAUGGAAAUGCCUCUGCAUUUAGUGGAACCAAGACUGGGGAAGGGACCAAACUGUGACACCAUUGCUCUUCCUGAAUAAUGCUGUAUAUUAUGAAUAGCCCCAUUGGGCUCAGUGGGAAUUACUCAUAACGUAGAUGUUAUUCAGAGCAAGUGAGAUGAUUGCAAUCUGGCCUGUAGAAAACAGCAUCUGAGCCUCUAACAUUCCUUAAAACUGGCAAAGAAUCGCACAGUGAUGGGCUUCCCAGGGAGUUUUAUUAGAAUUUGGGGGAUGUUUUGGGAGAGAAGCUGCUGGAAGUUUAUAACAGCACACUGUGGAAAAGCAAGCUGACAGGAUCGAUGAGCCAAGAAGAGCUAAUCACAUUGAUUUACAGGAGAGGAGAAAAAGAAGACAUGUCAGACUGGAGACCAGUCUCUUUACUGCAUACUGUGAAUACGAUAUUGGCAAGGGUAUUGUGAAGAGAUUAAGAUCAGCUGUUGAGGAAAUUAGACUCAAAAGUGUGGAUUCUCUGAAAGAUGAUUUGAUUUUAAGGAGUCACAUGAUUUAUUAUGGGAGAAAAGGAAACAUGUUCCUUACUCUCAAUCCACAACCAUGUGAAGUCUUGAUCAAGUAAGAAAAUGAUUUGGCCAAGUUGGCCAGAGAUUUAACCAGGCAGGAUAAUUGAGAAGAAAAUGGAGAUCCAUAGUUUACAGCUCUUUGAUCCACAUUUUAUAGAUUUGGGUGCUUUUUUUUCCUCCAUUUUUUGAUCAUCCAUUUUCAUCAACUUUUUUUCUAAUGAAUACAAAGCCCACUUGCACUUUGGAUGUGCAGCUCUUCAUGGUAAAAACAUCUCAACUGAGAAAGGACAGAGAUAUUGCUAGAGAAUGUGCCUAGAAAGAAGUUUAAGACAUGAUGCCAGUACAUGAUAAAGUAAUCACUGAGAAUGAAAGGAAAAACAUAAAACAGCUGUGUUCCAGAAUUGACUUUAGUGGUGAAUUGACAGCACAAUCCUCUAUUUAUCUCAGAAAAAAUUCAAUUCUAAACUGAAAAGAGGACAUCUCAGAGAUGCAGCAAUAUUAAUAGCUGUUCGGUUAGUAUGGAAACAAGUUUCACAUAUACACAGAAAUCCCAAGGUAACAUUCAUUGUAUUCGUGUAAUAGGCAUUUAUAACCCUUGUGCAGAGAGUAGAAGCUGUCAGCUGUCAGGAGUGCAAGCCUCCAACCAGGCAAGUGGCUUUUGCAGGAAGUGGUGUGAAAACACUGAGGGUAGCUCACAGGCCUUGGAAGGGAAAAAGCACUCCUACAGAAACCUUGCUUUGUGCUCCUCACACUGUUUCAUUCUGGAGGAUGUUUGGGAUGACCUGAAAAAUCUAACUUGUGUCGGAUGUUGCAGUAUAAUUACGUGAGAUGUGGAUGCCACGUGUGCAGAUGACGUCAGUGCUAGCAUAUGAUGGGUAGUGAUGGACGACAUCAUCAGCUGCCAUCACUGUGCACCAGUGUAGCUUACCUUGAGCCAAUAACAUGAGAAGUAUUUUAUUUUCAUCACUGGUGAAGAUAAACAUGCUGCUCUGAAGUUCAACAGCACCUGCAAAUGCUGUGGAAGGGCCACCACUUAGGGAAGUGCAGCGCUGGAAUGAGAGGAGAGGUCCUAUGUGAUGAAAGAGGACCUUACAUUCAGGUCUUCCAUUUGAUGCUUAGAUUUGGCUUCUCUAAGUCCCUAGAUCAGGAACACAAGUACCAUUGAAGCAGCCAGCCAUGAUGGCACCCGAUCAGCAUUCCUGCAGUAGCAAGAGUUUGUCACUCCCCCAUUCUUUGGCAUCCAGUAAAAAGACAUCAGGCCGCCUCUUGCCAUCUUUAUCCAGGUAGAAGCUCUUGUCAGAGGCUUUGAUCCCAAAUCAGGGAUAGGCUUGUAUUUUCAGUGAGCUUUACACCGUCUUCGGUUUCAAAUGCACAAGCAAGUUAUUGCAGCACAAUAAAUCAUUGCACGUAGCUGAGUCCUCGCUUACCAUGUGCACAUGCUUACCAUGUGCACAUACUGCUAAUGUAUUUCAGUUUAAUUUAACCCUCUUGCCUUAUGUUGAAAGUGGACUCAGUAGCUGGUCACUUACCUCUGGAAGGUGUAUGGGAAUCUGGCUGUGGACAGCAGGAUUCAAAUCUUUGUGUCAGGAAUGCAUAUAUAUGACAGGUAAUAAGUCCUGGAUUCUCUGUCCAUGGCUUUUAUCUCACAUCAUAGUAUAUAUUAAUUACUAGCAUGGCUGUAUUUUUAAAACUGCUUAAGCAAUAGUAGGCUGCAUUUGCAUGCCAACAAAUAUAAUUAGAUUGGUUUCACUUGGCACAGAUCUCACUGUACUAGCUACAGACAGGCAAUGAUCACCUUCAGCUGAAGAAAAGGAGGGCAGAGAAGCAGAACAGAAACUCUAGAUGAGAAGCAUUAGUUAAUGGUAUAAUGUGCAUGUUGUAGUCACUCCUGUUUUUUUACUUUUCCUUUGUAGAUAGUUAUAUAACUGGCUUGGGUUUAGCUUAAAACACAAGUCUCUUUAGUAGAUAUAUAGGGUAAACCAGGGUAGUUUCAUUUCUGUUUAAACUAGAUAAGGUUCAGGACAUUAGUUUAUUCUUCUUUGCUGCUAGGAGUUGCAUACGAAACACUGAAAUCUGCAUAGAUGAUAUACUUCUAGAAUAAGUGAGUUUAAUAAGCCAGCUCUAUUUUUGCGCCUACAUGUGAAUUGGGUCUUAACAUGUGAAUUUGUUUGCCAGUUACAUAACCAAUUUGAACUGUAAUAAGCUACAUAAAAGAAAACGUGAAUUUCCUGUGAAGAGAGCAAAGAUUUUAUCCUGAAUCUUUUCUGCGGGUAAUGAGGUUGCUGUCUAGAUACAUUGCAUUCAGUUUAUUGUCCCUUUAUUCUCUUUGAUGGAGUGCUAUGUUUCUGCUCUUUUGCAGUUUUCCUAGAUACCAAAUAAAAGCAUGCUUCCAGUCUGGUCAAUGGC